UACGAAGGGGGCUAGCGUUGUUCGGAAUUACUGGGCGUAAAGCGCGUGUAGGCGGGUCUUUAAGUCUGGGGUGAAAUGCCAGGGCUCAACCUUGGAACUGCCUUUGAUACUGGAGACCUUGAGUCCGGGAGAGGUGAGUGGAAUUGCGAGUGUAGAGGUGAAAUUCGUAGAUAUUCGCAAGAACACCAGUGGCGAAGGCGGCUCACUGGCCCGGAACUGACGCUGAGACGCGAAAGCGUGGGGAGCAAACAGG
rnacentral:rRNA from 1 species